ensembl:lncRNA centrosome-associated protein CEP250-like
AAAGCACUCUGAAUCAUACAGAAUGCCGGCUGAUAAAAAACAAUGAACAACAAGAUAUUUUCCUCCUUUCAGUUUAAAUGUGUUAUAUGAAAUUAUGAAAUCAACUGAAGUUUUGCCAGUGACUUCAGUGAAGCAAGGUUUUCACCCAAGAUCUUUAUCAGCUUCAUGAACAUAAAGAAAAGAAGAGAUUGCAAUGUGAGCCACAGCGAAUCUUGGCUGGACAAACUUGGAAUCAAUAAGAACAAGUUGGCAUUUCUAAAAUGUCUGAUUUGGUGGAAAGAAAGUACCACAACCAUAGAAAAAGAUCAUCAAACUGCUUCUGGAGUUCGUUCUCAUGAUGCCCAUGGACUGACUGAAUUGGAUGGAUGCAUGACAAAAGAUGAGCAGGCAUAUAUUCCAUAUAAAUUAGCUAAACUAUAUAUUACAAAGAUUGUAAAAGACAUGCAGCAAAUGAAAAUCAGACACAUGAAUAUAAUCAAUGAGUUGGACUGCAUAAGAAAAGAAAAGCAGGAACAGGCUGUAAUUGUUCUGAAGAAUCAUUACAACGGCAAAAUAAAGACCCUGAGAGCCCAGUUGGAAGCCUACCAGGAGCUUGUAGACAAGAGGAAUGGGGACUGGCAAGAUAUGAUUAAGAACCUGAGAGAGAAAAACAGGCAACUGAGCCAAGAAAAGAAAGGUCUUCUCUGCCAAAUAAAACAACAGAAUGAAAAAUGGGAGGAAGAAAAGGCUUGGAUCCUAGACCAUUUCUCUCAAAAACUAGACCAUUUAUACAUGGAACAUGUUUUGACUUUGCAGGAACUUCAGAAGAUUACACUGAGUAUGGAAAAAGUACAAGAGCUGAUGAAUUUCCAGGUGGACUUUCCUCAACAAAAAGCCUCCAUUACAGCAGAAAAGACAGCUACAUCUGAGGUUUUAGAGAUUAAUGGAGAGCAAGUACUAGAUGAACUGGAGAAGCAUGAACAAAUUCUGCAAAAGGAACUUCUUCAAAAUAUACAUACCAAAGUGCAAAUGAUAAGAGAGUCUUUACUCAAACGAGAAAGGGAGAUCAUUGAGCUGUUACAGAGAGAGAACAUAUGCAACAAAACAAUGAAGCCUCAAAUCACAAUGGCAGCAGUUUUAAAAACUCUUGUGAAAGAGGUUCAUGCAAUAUAUAAUGAUGUACCUGAGGCACAACAAUACAUCAGUCAGCUUAUCAGGAAGAAUGAUGCUGAAAGGGCUGAUCAGAAAGAAGCAUUUAACAAUGCUCAGGCUGACAUCCUAGCCUAUGAAGUAUUUUAUGGGUGCAAACCUAUGGAUAACAAAAGGGAACAGCUUCCAAUGAAGCUUUUCAGAAACCUUGUGAUUGCAAAGUCCGAUUUACAAUAUGUCGAAGCAGAGAAAACUGUGUUAGAUUGUAUCACAACUGGGGAAAUUUCAGAAUGGAUUGACAAAAAUAGCCUACAUUUUGCCCUGCUUGCUUCUGACAAAGAAAUUCAUGCAGAUGAUAAGACCCAUUUUCCAGAUGAAGUCCUGCUGACACCAGAAAACAAAUCACAGGAUGUUGUGACAAAAGAACCUCCAGGAAUUCACCACCUUGGAGGAAAGACCCCUUACCAUUACAAAGAUGGGGACACUGUGUGCAAAGGAUGGAGCAGAGAAGAACAUUCUGAAAUGGCUCAGGAGUAAAAGUUGGUUAAUUGAAUAGAAUAAUGUAUUUCUUCUGUUGGAAUCUCUCUUUAUUUUCAAACCUUCAUGAUUUUCUCCAUAAUCAUGAAACUGCAAACUAUGAAUGCCAAGAAAUCAGACAAUGAGAAGAAACAAAAGUAAAAAUCUGGCAAAUUUACUGAUGUUUCAUCCUUCAUUACAUCAGAAGAUCUCUAUUUCAGACAAUCCCUUUUGGAAGUAUGGGUCCCACAAACUUGUACAGAGAAAGUGAAUGGAUAAAGGUAUUGUGCAUGUCAAUUAACUUUUAGUGGGAGAUCAUAUUACUGUAUAUCUUUUUUGAGUUACGAUUAAUUUGGCCUUCUGAAAAAAGUUGAAUGGCACUUGAUGCAGUCAAAUCAAAUAUUGGAAAUAAGUUUUAACCUUAAGCAUUAAGUACUGCAAAUAUUCAAGUUAUGUUAUUUUUUGUUUUGAAAUCUGCUUCUUUUCUCCGUCCUGUGGCAUCAUCCUGUGAAUCUAUAAUGUCACAUAAAGGACCUCUUUAAGACUCAUCUGGAAUGAAGACCUAGGUAUUCUGAUGACAGAAUCCCAAUGGAAAUCAGUAGUUCAGAAUAUACAGAUAUCUACAGUUGGUCCCAGACUGCAUCUUAUAAAGCAAAGGAUAAUUUUUCAACUUCACUGGGCUCUCUUUAAACUUAAUCAAUAUACUGAAAGCAGUUACACUUUGGAGAUGUGAUGUUGGUCACAUAUUUUGAUCAUGCCCUAUUAUUAACUUUAGCUAUAAUUUCUUUCCAGGAAAAAUAGAUGUAGUUUUAAAUAGGGUUGCACCGAUAAAGAUUUUCUUGGCCUAUACCAAUGACUAAUUAUUAACCAACCAUAUCAGCUCAUACUGCUCCAAUGACCAAUUUAAAGGAAUUCAGCCGGGCAGCUGUGGAAGGGAAGGGGGAUGGUGGGGUGGAGAUCAAGGCCCC